GCAGUGGUGGUUCACUGGUAGAAUUCUUGCCUUCCAUGUGGGAAACUUGGAUUCGAUUCCUGGCCAAUGCA
rnacentral:tRNA from 1 species